CCCGCCCCCUCCCGAUCGGCAUGCGCGAGCCGCGCCCCACGGCUGCUGAGGGGCCGAUCUUGAGAAGCCUGCUGGAUCAGAACGGAUAGGAUUAUUCAAGACAAAACGGGAGGCAGGAGCCUACUGGAAGAAGUCUCUCUGCACAGCACUGGGUGUGGUGCUUGCUCAGUCUCCACUUGGACCUGUGCCCAUUUCCUGAAUCCAUAACACCUUCUAGCAGGAGUCCCACAGGCAGGAGUCCCACAUGCCACCCUGCUCCUGAGAGCAUGGACUUCAGCUGCUUGAAUAGAGACUUUGGCUUCACCUUUCUAAGGCUUAGACCUCAAGAAAAUUCUUUUCAUUCCCUGCCGCUUCCAACCAUGUGCUUUUGAACAGAGUAGCUAGCAUUGCUUUAUAACAAGGUAUCUAGUCAGCAGAUAACUCCCCAAUUACCUAGCAGCCAAAUUAACAACUAAGAGGGAAGAGAGGCAAAUGCCUGCUCAUGGUAAAGACUUUUCUGAA